CUGAUGUUAGCGGCGGACGGGUGAGUAACACGUGGAUAACCUACCUAUAAGACUGGGAUAACUUCGGGAAACCGGAGCUAAUACCGGAUAAUAUUUUGAACCGCAUGGUUCAAAAGUGAAAGACGGUCUUGCUGUCACUUAUAGAUGGAUCCGCGCUGCAUUAGCUAGUUGGUAAGGUAACGGCUUACCAAGGCAACGAUGCAUAGCCGACCUGAGAGGGUGAUCGGCCACACUGGAACUGAGACACGGUCCAGACUCCUACGGGAGGCAGCAGUAGGGAAUCUUCCGCAAUGGGCGAAAGCCUGACGGAGCAACGCCGCGUGAGUGAUGAAGGUCUUCGGAUCGUAAAACUCUGUUAUUAGGGAAGAACAUAUGUGUAAGUAACUGUGCACAUCUUGACGGUACCUAAUCAGAAAGCCACGGCUAACUACGUGCCAGCAGCCGCGGUAAUACG
rnacentral:rRNA from 1 species